CCCCCUUUUCCUUUUUCUUUUAUUUUUUGAAUUUCUUUUUUCCAAUCUUUUUAUAAAUUCAUUUGGGCUAUUUCAAAUCCUUUUUCAGCUUUUGCCCCCAAAACAAAAGUUGUCACAAAUAAAAAGCUCUACAACUUUGGUUUAGGUUGAAAUUCCAAAUUCCAAUUAGGAUUUGAAAUAAAACUUAAAACUAGUUCUAGGUUUUCAAAUAAAUUCAUUUUGGGGCUUUUUGUGUAAAAUCCAUUUCUCAAUUCCUAUAGCUCCCAAAAAUUUCACAAAAUUAUUCUUAAUUCUUCUAAAAAACAUAUUUCAAUCUAUUUUGGUCAUCACAAGAAUUUUAGAAACAAGUAUACUAAUUUUAUCAUAUUUAAGUCAUGUAAAAUAAGCACAUA
rnacentral:lncRNA from 1 species